GCGCCCUUGGUGUAGCGUUAACACACAUCCCGUUUGUCAAGGAUAGUAAAGGAACAUUAUGGAUGAGUUCGGGGUUCGACUCCCCAAGGGGCCC